rnacentral:rRNA from 1 species
CCCGCUGAACUUAAGCAUAUCAAUAAGCGGAGGAAAAGAAACCAACAGGGAUUGUCCUAGUAACGGCGAGUGAAGCGACAACAGCUCAAAUUUGAAAUCUGGCCCCAGGCCCGAGUUGUAAUUUGUAGAGGAUGUUUCUGGCGCGGCGCCUUCCGAGUUCCCUGGAACGGGACGCCACAGAGGGUGAGAGCCCCGUCUGGAUGUGCGCUAAGCCUAUGUGAAACUCCUUCGACGAGUCGAGUAGUUUGGGAAUGCUGCUCAAAAUGGGAGGUAUACGUCUUCUAAAGCUAAAUACCGGCCAGAGACCGAUAGCGCACAAGUAGAGUGAUCGAAAGAUGAAAAGCACUUUGAAAAGAGGGUUAAAUAGUACGUGAAAUUGUUGAAAGGGAAGCAUUUAUGACCAGACUUGGGCCCGGUUAAUCAUCCAGCGUUCUCGCUGGUGCACUUGGCCGGCCCAGGCCAGCAUCAGUUCGCCCCGGGGGAUAAAGGCUUCGGGAAUGUGGCUCCCUAGGGAGUGUUAUAGCCCGCUGCGCAAUAUCCUGGGGCGGACUGAGGUUCGCGCAUCUGCAAGGAUGCUGGCGUAAUGGUCGUCAAUGACCCGUCUUGAAACACGG